ensembl:snoRNA
UCGACCAAUGGUGACAACUGCCAGCAUAUGUGUCUCACAUGAUGAAUGAUACAUGUCUGAAACUCUGAGGUCCGA